rnacentral:rRNA from 1 species
UACGGAGGGUGCGAGCGUUAAUCGGAAUUACUGGGCGUAAAGGGUGCGUAGGUGGUUUGAUAAGUUAGCUGUGAAAUUCCUGGGCUCAACCUAGGGAGGUCAGCUAAGACUGUUAGACUCGAGUAUGGGAGAGGACAGUGGCAUUUCCGGUGUAGCGGUGAAAUGCGUAGAGAUCGGAAGGAACACCAGUGGCGAAGGCGGCUGUCUGGCCUAAUACUGACACUGAGGCACGAAAGCGUGGGGAGCAAACAGG